rnacentral:rRNA from 1 species
UUGACCUCAAAUCAGGUGGGACUACCCGCUGAACUWAAGCAYAUCAAUAAGYGGAGGAAAAGAAACUAACAAGG